CGAACCUAGAUCGACCUGCUCGCUCUGCACACCUGGAACAACGUGUUCCUCGUCCCGAGAAGAGUCGAGGAAAAAUCUCGCAUUCGCAAACCAAGCAAAUGGAGGCAUGAGCUCCGCCGCCUCCCCGUCUCUCGCCGAUCUCCCCCAAACCCUAGCCUCGACCUGACCGCCAGCGGGCCCGCAGGCCGGAGAAGGAGUCGGAGUCGCCCCCACCCACCCACCCUCUGCCGCGGGCGGGGAGCGGGCGGCGGACGAGAUGCCGUCGCACGGGGAUCUGGACCGGCAGAUCGCGCAGCUGCGCGACUGCAAGUACCUGCCCGAGGCGGAGGUCAAGGUGCUCUGCGAGCAGGCCAAGGCCAUCCUCAUGGAGGAAUGGAACGUGCAGCCCGUGCGCUGCCCCGUCACCGUCUGCGGCGACAUCCACGGCCAGUUCUAUGACCUCAUCGAGCUCUUCCGCAUCGGCGGCGACUCUCCCGACACCAACUACCUCUUCAUGGGCGACUACGUCGAUCGUGGCUAUUAUUCAGUUGAAACGGUUUCUCUGUUAGUGGCUUUGAAAGUCCGUUACAGAGAUAGAAUUACAAUACUUCGAGGAAAUCAUGAGAGCAGACAAAUCACUCAAGUGUACGGCUUCUAUGAUGAAUGCUUAAGAAAAUAUGGAAAUGCAAAUGUAUGGAAGUAUUUUACAGACUUGUUUGAUUAUUUGCCUCUCACAGCUCUUAUAGAAAAUCAGGUCUUCUGUCUUCAUGGAGGCCUCUCUCCGUCAUUGGACACAUUGGAUAACAUUCGUUCUCUUGAUCGCAUACAGGAGGAGAGCUGCGUGUGAUUUGCACUAAGAGAGGAGAAAGGUAUAAGGGCAAGCGAAACAGCCCCCACCUAUACACCGUGCACAACUGGUUAUGUGAAAACCCCCUCGCCACUGACUAAAGGAGAGAUUACAACCAAGGGGAUUAGUCUACCAAACAGAAUCUAAAGUUCUGGGGAAAACGACCUAAAGAGCUGAUCCUGGAGAUUAGAAUCUCCCAACAUGGACCAUAUACUACACUCAUCAACCAUUGUUUUAGGAGACCCAGAAUGUUCGACAAAACUCCAUCAAACACACAGGUACCUCAUGAAGGACCCAUGUGUGAUCUUUUGUGGUCUGACCCAGAUGACCGAUGUGGGUGGGGAAUUUCACCCAGAGGAGCAGGUUACACAUUUGGGCAAGACAUUGCACAGCAGUUCAACCAUACAAAUGGUCUCUCUCUCAUUUCAAGGGCCCAUCAACUUGUAAUGGAAGGAUUUAAUUGGUGCCAGGAUAAGAAUGUAGUCACAGUCUUCAGUGCGCCUAAUUACUGUUACCGCUGUGGUAACAUGGCUGCUAUUCUUGAAAUCGGGGAAAACAUGGACCAGAACUUCCUUCAAUUCAACCCCGCACCUCGGCAAAUUGAGCCAGACACAACUCGCAAAACCCCAGACUACUUUCUGUAAUUGUGGUGGUGACCUUAACUUUCUGGUGUUUGAUGCUCCUCUCUUCCGCAGCAUCAGGGUAUGUAGAUCUUGUCCUUAGAUAUGGGUCCCAUGUGCCCGGCCUUAACGUCUCCCUAUUCUUUUGUUUGGAGAUUUUGUUUCUGCUUCUCGAUCUUGAUACAAGAUGUUAGAAGUUGAAUGCCAGUGUAUUUUUUUCUUCCUGCUGUACGUCGACUUUGUAUUAUUUGUAGACAGGGAAUGGAGGACGCAGUAGGAACGCCCCUGCUAUGCUUUUGCUCAUCACAUCAUCCGCGUGGCUGAAUAAAUUGCGUCCAGAUGCGAAGGUUUUGGUUUGCAGCUUCCCCAUCUGAUGUGCCUAGUGCUGUGUAAUGUUGGUUGGCGCCUUGCAGUUUCUACAUGUGAAUAUGUGAUGGCCAAAAUGGUUUCAUGGUGAUUCUUAUAUCACUUAUGGCAAAUCAAGAUUAUUCAAUAUGUACAGAUGACGCAUAAUCGGCAGUUCAACAGAUCAGCUCUAUUCAUGCUUACAUGAUUUUGCUGUUGUAUUGAGACGCGUGAUGGAACAUCUUGGCAUGUGAUGGGAUCUAGCUGGCUAGAGGGAGUAAAUAAUCUAUAUUUUAAAUGCUGUAAAGUAAUAAAGCAAGUGAUGCAAAAGAAAUACUUAUACUAGCUCUA